rnacentral:rRNA from 1 species
AGAACGAACGCUGGCGGCAGGCUUAACACAUGCAAGUCGAGCGCCCCGCAAGGGGAGCGGCAGACGGGUGAGUAACGCGUGGGAACCUACCCAAUUCUACGGAACAACUGAGGGAAACUUCAGCUAAUACCGUAUACGCCCUACGGGGGAAAGAUUUAUCGGAGUUGGAUGGGCCCGCGUUGGAUUAGCUAGUUGGUGGGGUAACGGCCUACCAAGGCGACGAUCCAUAGCUGGUCUGAGAGGAUGAUCAGCCACACUGGGACUGAGACACGGCCCAGACUCCUACGGGAGGCAGCAGUGGGGAAUAUUGGACAAUGGGCGCAAGCCUGAUCCAGCCAUGCCGCGUGAGUGAUGAAGGCCUUAGGGUUGUAAAGCUCUUUCAGUAGGGAAGAUAAUGACGGUACCUACAGAAGAAGCCCCGCUAACUUCGUGCCAGCAGCCGC